UGCUUGGAUACAAAAUAUAGUUUAAUAAAAACGCCUCGCUUACACCGAGCUAAUGUCCGUAAACCCUGACUAUUUUGAGCCAAUAAUCUAGCCCCACUUCUACUACCGAGCCCCUCCUCCUCCCCACUCAAUCACAAAAUAUUUUGACAAUCUAGUAAAGACGAUAAAAAAAUUAAUCGGAGCCAUAGACGCGUACCGCAAGGGAACAAUGAAAUAACAAUGAAAUAUUUUUAAGCACAAAAAAGUAAAGACUAACUCUUGUACCUUUCGCAUCAUGGUUUAACAAGUCUAACUAAGCAAAAUGAUUUAAAGUUUUACACCCCGAAACUACGUGAGCUACUCGAGGACAGCUUCAUGAGCAAACCCGUCUCUGUCGCAAAAGAGUGGGAAGAUCCCCGAGUAGAGGUGACAGACCUAANNNNNNNNNNNNNNNNNNNNNACUCAAGAAAAGAAUUUUAGUUCUACUGAAAAUCCCCCUAAUCAUCAAAAAUAAACCUGGGAUUUUUAUGUUACCCAAGUAAGGUACAGCUUACUUGAGACAGGAUACAACCUCUACCACUGGGUAAGCCAUUCUAUACGACAUAAAUUUGUAGGCCUAACAGCAGCCAUCCCCUACAGCGUCAAAGCUUAUUUACGUCCCAAAAUAAUAACUUGAUUUUCCAUCGAGCCCCCCACCAGUACUGAGUAAUUUUAUGCCCGCCAUAAAAUCUUCUAUGUUAAAACUAGUAACAAGAAGCUAGCCUUCUCUAAAAUGUAUGUGUAAGUCAGACCUGCACUCAGCACUGACCAUUAACAGCCCUAUACCAAAGAAGAAACUCUUCAAGUAAAAUCUUCUGCUUACCCUGUCAACCUAACACAAGCACAUUCAAAGAAAGAUUAAAAGAAAAUGAAGGAACUCGGCAAAUCACGGCCCCGCCUGUUUACCAAAAACAUCGCCUCCUGAAAAAAAUAUAAGAGGUCCAGCCUGCCCAGUGACUUGUUUAACGGCCGCGGUAUCCUAACCGUGCGAAGGUAGCGUAAUCACUUGUCUUUUAAAUAAAGACUAGUAUGAAAGGCAUCACGAGGGUCAAACUGUCUCCUUUUUCUAAUCAGUAAAACUAAUCUUCCCGUGAAGAAGCGGGAAUUUCUCUAUAAGACGAGAAGACCCUAUGGAGCUUUAAACUGUAAGUUAUUCGCCUGUUCCUACCCCAAUUUCAGAAAUUUUACACUCUGCGCCCACUAACUACACGUUUUAGGUUGGGGUGACCUAGGAGCAAAACAAACCCUCCUAGCUGACACGGGCUAAACCCUGAGAAAAAAGCCACAACUUUAACCCCCAAUAAAUUGACAUCAAUUGACCCAGUCCGCUGAGCAACGAACCAAGUUACCCUAGGGAUAACAGCGCAAUCUACUUCAAGAGUCCCUAUCGACAAGUGGGUUUACGACCUCGAUGUUGGAUCAGGGUGUCCAAGUGGUGCAGCCGCUACUAAAGGUUCGUUUGUUCAACGAUUAAAACCCU
rnacentral:rRNA from 1 species